rnacentral:rRNA from 1 species
UAAUACAUGCAAGUCGAACGAACCAACCUGAAGAUUGAUGCUUGCAUCAUGAUUCAGACCUUGGUGAGUGGCGGACGGGUGAGUAACACGUGGGUAACCUGCCCAAAAGUGGGGGAUAACAUUUGGAAACAAGUGCUAAUACCGCAUAACAACUACUUUCACAUGAUCGUAGCUUGAAAGAUGGCUCUGCUAUCGCUUUUGGAUGGACCCGCGGCGUAUUAGCUAGUUGGUGAGGUAAUAGCUCACCAAGGCAAUGAUACGUAGCCGACCUGAGAGGGUAAUCGGCCACAUUGGGACUGAGACACGGCCCAAACUCCUACGGGAGGCAGCAGUAGGGAAUCUUCCACAAUGGGCGAAAGCCUGAUGGAGCAAUGCCGCGUGAGUGAAGAAGGUUUUCGGAUCGUAAAACUCUGUUGUUGAAGAAGAACAUGCGUGAGAGUAACUGUUCACGUACUGACGGUAUUCAACCAGAAAGCCACGGCUAACUACGUGCCAGCAGCCGCGGUAAUACGUAGGUGGCAAGCGUUGUCCGGAUUUAUUGGGCGUAAAGAGAAUGUAGGCGGUUUAUUAAGUUUGAAGUGAAAGCCCUCGGCUCAACCGAGGAAGUGCUUCGAAAACUGGUAAACUUGAGUGCAGAAGAGGAAAGUGGAACUCCAUGUGUAGCGGUGGAAUGCGUAGAUAUAUGGAAGAACACCAGUGGCGAAGGCGGCUUUCUGGUCUGUAACUGACGCUGAGAUUC